rnacentral:tRNA from 1 species
CAGAAAGUAGUUUAAAAUAAAACACUAGUUUUGGGGAUUAGGAAUGGGCUUAGUUUCUUUCUGA